GACGACGCUGGCGGCGUGGAUAGGCAUGCAAGUCGAACGGUAUCAUCCUUUCGGGGGUGAGAGAGUGGCGAACUGGUGAGUAACACGUAGGUUAUCUACCCUCAAGGACGGGGACAACCCAGGGAAACUUGGGCUAAUACCGGAUGUGAGCAACUUUUAGUUGUUUGAAAGGUGGCGUAAGCUGUCGCUUGGGGAUGAGCCUGCGUCCUAUUAGUUAGUUGGUGAGGUAACGGCUCACCUAGGCAAUGAUAGGUAGGCGGCCUUAACGGGUGGUCGCCCACACUGGGAUUGAGAUACGGCCCAGACUCCUACGGGAGGCAGCAGUCGAGAAUAGUCUACAAUGGUCGGAAGACUGAUAGUGCGACGCCGCGUGAACGAUGAAUCCCUUCGGGGUGUAAAGUUCUUUUAUAUGUGAGCAGUGCUUCUUAUAUUAACAGUAUGGGGAGAGAGAUAUUAGCAUAUGAAUAAGCAACGGCUAACUCCGUG
rnacentral:rRNA from 1 species